rnacentral:misc_RNA from 1 species
GAUGAAGAACGCAGCGAAAUGCGAUAAGUAAUGUGAAUUGCAGAAUUCAGUGAAUCAUCGAAUCUUUGAACGCACCUUGCGCUCUUUGGUAUUCCGAAGAGCAUGCCUGUUUGAGUGUCAUGAAAAUAUCAACCUUGACUUGGGUUUUGUGCUCUAGUCUCGGCUUGGAAUUGGGUGCUUGCCGCUUUUACGAGCGGCUCACCUUAAAUGUAUUAGCUGGAUCUGUCUUUGAGACUUGGUUUGACUUGGCGUAAUAAGUAUUUCGCUAAGGACAUUCUUCGGAGUGGCCUCGUUUCUAGGACGCUUGUCCGCUUUCCAAUACAAGUUCCACCUCGUGGACAUGACUUUUUAUUAUCUGGACUCAAAUCAGGUAGGACUACCCGCUGAACUUAAGCAUAUCAAUAAGCGGAGGA